GCGGAAGUAGCUCAGUUGAUAGAGCAUUAGCCUUCCAAGCUGAGGGUCGCGGGUGUGCGUCCCGUCUUCCGCUC
rnacentral:tRNA from 1 species